GCACUACCUUGUUCAGCAUGUGAGAGCGUAGCCUCAGGUGCUAUGACUGAACAGAAGACUUCCUUCUAAGAAAUAGCUAAAGGUCAGCCUCCAAAGAAAGCCUUGGGCAAAACCAGCUAGACCUGCUAUGUGCCCUGAGUGCCAGCAAACUCACCCUCUUGGGGGACCAACAAGGGAGGAUGUUCCAGAGUUAAGGACCAUCCUCUGAGAAUGCAGGCUCCUACUACAAAGGAGAAGAACACCAGAGGACUGGGAAGAUCAUCGUGCUGGGAGCUGUACAAACACACAGGAAGCCAGACCCCUUCCCUGAGCAGCUUACAAUCUAAUUUAAGACACAGUACAAGUGAAUGAGAAACACACUCAGAAGAUGAGGAUCUGAUCCAACUUCCAAUGAAAAGACUCCAGCAGGAGCUGGAUCAGUGCCUAAAAUGUACUUUACAGGCACAGAAUAAGGCAGUCUCCUGUCCCACAGCGCUUACAGUCAAGGGGGUCAAUCCUGCAAGCAUUUGCAUGUCAGUAACUUUAUUCCUGGGAGUUGAAUGGACAACAUAUAGAUC